GGGUCAGUAGGUUGGUCGUGCCACCGGUACGUACUGGUCUCACUGAUUCCUCCUUCCUGAAGAACCGUAAUGCCAUUAAUUUGGUGUUGCGGGGAAACAGGACUGCUACUUUGAAAAAAUUAGAGUGUUUAAAGCAGGCUAACGCUUGAAUACAUUAGCAUGGAAUAAUGAAAUAGGACGAUCGAUCCUAUUUUGUUGGUUUCUAGGAUUGACGUA
rnacentral:rRNA from 1 species